rnacentral:rRNA from 1 species
AUUGAACGCUGGCGGCAGGCCUAACACAUGCAAGUCGAACGGUAACAGGAAGCAGCUUGCUGCUUUGCUGACGAGUGGCGGACGGGUGAGUAAUGUCUGUGAAACUGCCCUAUGGAGGGGGAUAACUACUGGAAACGGUAGCUAAUACCGCAUAACGUCUCAAGACCAAAGUGGGGGACCUUAGGGCCUCUUGCCAUCGGAUGUUCCCAGAUGGCAUUAGCUAGUAGGUGGGGUAACGGCUCACCUAGGCGACGAUCCCUAGCUGGUCUGAGAGGGUGACCAGCCACACUGGAACUGAGACACGGUCCAGACUCCUACGGGAGGCAGCAGUAGGGAAUAUUGCACAAUGGGCGAAAGCCUGAUGCAGCCAUGCCGCGUGUAUGAAGAAGGCCUUCGGGUUGUAAAGUACUUUCAGCGGGGAGGAAGGGAGUAAAGUUAAUACCUUCGCUCAUUGACGUUACCCGAAGAAGAAGCACCGGCUAACUCCGUG